rnacentral:rRNA from 1 species
UACGUAGGGACCAAGCGUUGUUCGGAUUUACUGGGCGUAAAGGGCGCGUAGGCGGCUUAACAAGUCACUUGUGAAAUCUCCGGGCUUAACUCGGAACGGCCAAGUGAAACUGUCAAGCUAGAGUGCAGAAGGGGCAAUCGGAAUUCUUGGUGUAGCGGUGAAAUGCGUAGAUAUCAAGAGGAACACCUGAGGUGAAGACGGGGUUGCUGGGCUGACACUGACGUGAGGCGCGAAAGCCAGGGGAGCAAACGGGG